AAUAUUGCGCAAUGGAGGAAACUCUGACGCAGCGACGCCGCGUGAGUGAUGAAGGUCUUCGGAUCGUAAAGCUCUGUCCUUGGGGACGAAGGUCUUCGGACUUGACGGUUCUCAUGGAGGAAGCCCCGACUAACUUCGUGCCAGAAGCCGAGGUAAUACGUAGGGGGCAAGCGUUGUCCGGAAUUAUUGGGCGUAAAGGGUGCGUAGGCGGCCUUUUAAGUCAGAUGUAAAAGCCCACGGCUCAACCGUGGGAUUGCAUUUGAAACUGGAGGGCUUGAGUAUCGGAGAGGGUAGUGGAAUUCCCAGUGUAGCGGUGAAAUGCGUAGAUAUUGGGAGGAACACCAGUGGCGAAGGCGACUACCUGAACGAUUACUGACGCUGAUGCACGAAAGCUAGGGGAGCAAAC
rnacentral:rRNA from 1 species